AUUGAACGCUGGCGGCAUGCCUUACACAUGCAAGUCGAGCGGCAGCGCGGGGGCAACCCUGGCGGCGAGCGGCGGACGGGUGAGUAAUACAUCGGAACGUGUCCUUUCGUGGGGGAUAACCAGUCGAAAGACUGGCUAAUACCGCAUGAGAUCUCACGAUGAAAGCGGGGGACUCCGAGGGUAACUUCGGGGCCUCGCGCGAUUGGAGCGGCCGAUGUCGGAUUAGCAGUUGGCGGGGUAAAAGCCCACCAAGGCAACGAUCCGUAGCUGGUUUGAGAGAACGACCAGCCACACUGGGACUGAGACACGGCCCAGACUCCUACGGGAGGCAGCAGUGGGGAAUUUUGGACAAUGGGGGCAACCCUGAUCCAGCCAUGCCGCGUGUGUGAAGAAGG
rnacentral:rRNA from 1 species